rnacentral:lncRNA from 1 species
CAACAUGUUUUAUAUCCGAAAUACCAAAUUGAGUUACAAAAGAUCGAAAUGGAAUGAAAGAGCUUUCACAUCGAGGUGGUAUACUAUACCCUUCUUUUUCUCAUUUGAAAAAUGUCAUUAAAGUGUCCUGUCAAGAGCCAAGCUGGGUCCCUUUCCGCUCCUCGCUCUGCAAGCUGUCCCAAAUGGCUGGUCUAUUGUCAUGUUGAGGUGCUACAUAGAUAAAUGUAAUAUGGGAGGUAGUAGAAGUAUGCUUCACCUUUAAUAUUCUAUAUAUAUAUUUGAACUGCUGUUAGUCAGAAAAUAAUUUUAAAUAUUCAAUAAUAAAUAAAUAAAAUUGCCAUAAGCCCAAUAACUUAACUCGAGAAUCCAAAACAGUAGUUUCUUCGACUUCCUAUUGCUUAUCUCGAUAUCUUGUCGCAAACCUCAGAGAACGAACUUUUUUUCUUGAUUUGAUUUGAGAUGGGUGAUUCCUACAUUUCUCCCAACCUCGAUCUAUCCGAUAACUGUGGUCCGUUUAAACCUCAAAAGAAAGAUGCCAUCAAAUUCUGACCUGAUGAAGAGGGAUUUCCUCGGACAUGGUUCGUCACUGUUAUGGGAGAAGACUUUGACAUCAGAAAAUGAAAACUCCGAGUGACCCAUGAUGCAAACCGCAUCAUCAGCGACGAUGGUUCCACUCCUCUUACUGAAGAGAGAGAGAGAGAGAGAGAGAGAGAGAGAGAGAGAGAGAGAGAGAGAGAGAGAGAGAGAGAGAGAGAGAGAGAGAGAGAGAGAGAGAGAGAGAGAGAGAGAGAGAGCAUAUACCCACCUCUGCUGGUAACAAGAUUCACUUUGAAUGAGUUCACACGAGGAUCCACUGUUGAAGUUUUACAAAGAGAACUCUG